AUGGAGGUCUCAGGGUUCUCCAACAGUAAGAUGGAUGUCAGAGCCAAAUGUCAACUUGAAAUCUGGAUGGAAAUGGCUCCCUCCAAGUCUGAACCUUAGGGGAAGGUUCAGCAGUCACAGUCCACCAGUGUUUCCUCAGCUGCCAACGCUUCUCAGAGGGGGAAGUGCUGCUGCCGCCUGGAGGGGCGCAGCCCUGAAGGUUACAGAAGAUGUGGGCAGAGAAUGUGGAAAAUCACCCAGAGAUUGCUGCUCACACUUCAUGUCUUCAGAGCAUCACCCCUCAUUUUAUAGCUGGAGAGAUGGGCGCACAGCCAGGGAAAGCCAGGAACAGGUUCCAGCUUCCGUCACUCAGACACUCAGGAAUCCCUGGAUUGUCUCAGAUCACCAAAAAGUGGACAGGGAGGAGGAGUGGAAGCAAGGAAAAAUAAGGGAGAGACAUUCAUUGGACCCCAUUGUUUACAGUGUGGUCUUGGCUCCGGUGCGUCGAGGACCCAUGUACAGCAGGAAUUCCCAAAGCUGAACAUGGUGACUCCCACCAGAUUAAGUCACUCCUGGAUGUUCUAGUGGGAGCGUUUUGAGGAAUCCCCCACACAGCCCCACCUCGCCUCCAAGAGGCUGGAGACCCCACAGGUGGGCACGGUGUUGGUGGCCAGCACAUUGGUGGCCGUGGCCGGUGGGUGAGCAAGGAGACUGGUUCAGUCAGUGGACCUCAUGCCUGGUGGGUGCUGCCCAUGGCACUGGGAACUUCCUUGCUCCUUUUGGUGCUGUUGGCACAGCCUCUCCAGAGCAGUGAAUGAAUGCCAGUCUCCUCCCACACCCCUCCAGGAACGCAGACCAACACAGCUGCUCUAUUAAAUGUGUGCACUUCUUAUUCUGAGUAUGUCUGAGUCUCUGAUGAGCUCUAUUUAUUGCA